AGCAGCCGCGGUAAUUCCAGCUCCAAUAGCGUAUAUUAAAGUUGUUGCAGUUAAAAAGCUCGUAGUUGAAUUUCGGGAUCAGCAGGUUGGUCGUGCCUCUGGUAUGCACUGGUUUCGCUGAUUCCUCCUUUCUGAAGAACCGUAAUGUCAUUAAUUUGGUGUUGCAGGGAAACAGGACUGUUACUUUGAAAAAAUUAGAGUGUUUAAAGCAAGCUAACGCUUGAAUACAUUAGCAUGGAAUAAUGAAAUAGGACGUUUGAUCCUAUUUUGUUGGUUUCUAGGAUUGACGUAAUGAUUAAUAGGGAUAGUUGGGGGCAUUAGUAUUCAAUUGUCAGAGGUGAAAUUCUUGGAUUUAUUGAAGACUAACUACUGCGAAAGCAUUUGCCAAGGAUGUUUUCAUUAAUCAAGAACGAAAGUUAGGGGAUCGAAGACGAUCAGAUACCGUCGUAGUCUUAACCAUAAACUAUGCCGACUAGGGAUCGGGUGAUGUUAAUUUUUUAAUGACUCA
rnacentral:rRNA from 1 species